rnacentral:piRNA from 1 species
UUAAAAUCCUCUAGGUGACAGGAUAAAGUGU